rnacentral:rRNA from 1 species
UAGGGAAUCUUCCACAAUGGACGCAAGUCUGAUGGAGCAACGCCGCGUGAGUGAAGAAGGGUUUCGGCUCGUAAAACUCUGUUGUUAAAGAAGAACACGUAUGAGAGUAACUGUUCAUACGUUGACGGUAUUUAACCAGAAAGUCACGGCUAACUACGUGCCAG